UACGUAGGGGGCUAGCGUUGUCCGGAAUCAUUGGCGUAAAGUGCGUGUAGGCGGCCGGUAAGUCCGCUGUGAAAGUCCAGGCUCAACCCUGGGAUGCCGGUGGACUACUGUCGGGCUCGAGUCCGGAAGAGGCGGAGUGGAAUUCCUGGUGGUAGCGGUGAAAUGCGCAGAUAAUCAGGAGGAACACCAAUGGCGAAAGGCAGCUCGCUGGGACGUGACUGACGCUGAGACGCGAAAGCGUGGGGAGCAAACAGGAUUGAG
rnacentral:rRNA from 1 species